AUCGCACCCAGCAUAUUUCAACGCACACAAAGGAGAGCACGAUUCGAGAGCAAGCGGGGAUUGGCGAGGCGGAGCUAAAGGAUCUCGUCGGAAAGGGAAACGAUGGAAACCAGCGAAACUCUGUGAACAACAAGUCUUAGCGUUAUGAGUUAUAAAUUUAGUGCUUAAUAACUUUACGUGUAAGGAAAGGAUAAAAUGAGACUCCGGUCACAGAGAACCGUGGCGCCCUACGCGGAGACGCCGAGAAAAACUCGCCAGCCGUCUCGCAACAAUGCCACACCGACAGUGAGACGAACUCGUCUGUCAGUACCACAAAGUCCAUUACAAGACAAGGUUGAGAAGACUUGUGAUGCUGAAGAUGUCCCCACAAUGACGCGGCGCCUGCUGCCCCGUGGGCGGCCAAGAAAAAGAGCCAUCGCUGCGGAUGACAAAGAAACGGAUUCUGCCUUCAAGACGCCACUCCGGUCCAUUUUGCGCCAUGAGCACAUACUUUCUGAGAUGGACCCACUGUCACCUCAUAAUUCAGCAGCCAGGAUGAGCUACACCCCCAUUGUUCGAUUUCUCACGCCUAGUAAAGAGAAUUACAAUAGUCCAGUAAAUAAUGUGAUGAUGAGCCCUGAACAAGGGGUGUUUGGUUAUGGUUCCAUUGACCUCCUGAUGGGAGACGAGGAUGACCACAUUUUCAGUCCCUUCACUUUCAUCAAGAACCUUCCAUCACAGUCUCAGUGUUCCCAGCCCAGACUGCCAGACAUCCCUCCUAAGACCAGGAGCACCCCAGAGGCCACGCUUGUGCUUGACCUGGAGGAAACGUUGAUGUUUGGCUCUCUGAAUGUGAUUGACAAUCCUGAAUACACGUUCCACACAGCUUUUCAGGAUCAUCAGUACAAGGUUUACAUGAUCCUACGACCACAUGUGAAGGAGUUCCUGCAGUCUGUGGCAAAAGUAUAUGAGCUCUUUGUUUACACCUGUGCAAAGAAAGAGUACGCUGAGAAGAUUCUGGACAUCCUGGACCCUCAAAGGAAGCUCUUUCGGUAUGACUUCAUGAAACUAUGCUUUCGGUUCCUCCCCUCACCUUUGGUCACGAACUGUGGGUCAAGACCGAAAUAACAAGAUCCCCGAUAAAAGCGGUCGAAAUGAGUUUCCUCCCCAGGGUGUCCAGGCUCUCCCUUAGAACGAGGGUGAGAAGCUCGGUCAUCCGGGAAGGGCUCAGAGUAGAGCCGCUGCUCCUCUGAAUUGAGAGGAGCCAGGUGAGGUGGCUCAGGCAACUGAUUAGGAUGCCUACUGGGCGCCUCCCUGGUGAGGUAUUCCGGGCAUAUCCCACCGGGAGGAGACCCCUGCGAUGACCCAGGACACGUUGUAGAGACUAUAUCUUCCGGCUGCCCUGGGACCCCCUCGGGAUCUACCGGAAGAGCUGGGUGAAAUGGCUGAGGAGAGGGGGCUUCCCUGCUGAAGCUACUGCCCCCGUGACCCAACCUGAUAAGCGGAACAAAAUGGAUGGAAGGAUAAAUGAAUAACUGUGACACUCCUCUGUUUCUCCACUGAUUGUUCUCGCAGCCACCGUCUCUAUCAGGAUGAGUGUGCCUGUGUCCUCGGCCACUACAUUAAAGAUCUCAGCAUCCUGGGGAGAGAUCUCUCCAAGAUUGUGGUUUUGGACAACGCACCCCACACCUACCCCUACCAUUUGAUGAACACUCUUCCCAUCAAGAGUUGGUCUGGUGAGUCAGAUGAUAGAGAACUCCAGAAGCUCAUCCC